AAAAUUUUUUUUUUCAUCAAACCCAUACGUGUGGGAUAUCUAUGGAUAGGUCUUCAAAAAUGAUAUUGAGGUUCCUAAUAUCAUUUUUUUUCUAAACUGAAUAGUUUGCGCGAGAGACACUUCCAAAGUGGUAAAAUGUGUGU